rnacentral:rRNA from 1 species
GACGAACGCUGGCGGCGUGCUUAACACAUGCAAGUCGAGCGGUAAGGCCCUUUCGGGGGUACGACGAGCGGCGAACGGGUGAGUAACACGUGGGUGACCUGCCCUCAGCUCUGGGAUAAGCCUGGGAAACCGGGUCUAAUACUGGAUAUGACUCCAUGACGCAUGUUGUGGGGUGGAAAGCCUUGUGCGGCUGAGGAUGGGCCCGCGGCCUAUCAGCUUGUUGGUGGGGUGAGGCCUACCAAGGCGACGACGGGUAGCCGGCCUGAGAGGGCGACCGGCCACACUGGGACUGAGACACGGCCCAGACUCCUACGGGAGGCAGCAGUGGGGAAUCUUGCGCAAUGGGCGAAAGCCUGACGCAGCGACGCCGCGUGAGGG